UGUCUCUCUGUCUCUCUAUCCCUCUCUAUCCCACACUGCCCAAAUAACAAUUGGCUCCCUUUUUCUUAAGCCAAAGUAUUAGCAUGGGAGGGUGGUGACUUCAGUGACUGAGCCUGAUUCUGAACUCCACCAUUGCACCAAAGGACCAUUUCAAGCACCACCUUCCUGCCAAUGUGCUCUUGCUGGGAAGAUGCUCACUUGAUGCAUCGCUGGUUGUGUGUCUAGGUUGGCUGGAUCAGGUGGCUGCUUCCCCUCCUAGCGUUCCCAGUCACUGGUGUGAGAAGUCUCUCUAUGGAUCUGGUCUGCCUGCAUUCCAGGCACUACUGGAGGAGCAAUUCUCCCUGCAAAGAUAACAGACAAGGUGGCCUUAUGGGGGAAACAUGCUGUGGAGCUUGCUACGUUGGGUGGUGUUUUUGUUUUUUGUUUUUUAACAAUUCAUGAUCAAUAGCUUACCAAUCUUCUGUCAGUAAAUGGUAGAUCAUGAAGCAAGGAGAAUUGGGAGGAGACCUGGGCAAGGUGUGAGUCAGGUGCAGAUGCAACUUUGAUUACAGGUGUUCUGGCAACUUAGAAAGUUCAGUGUCUAGGUUUCCUUGCUUUCAGAUUGGCAGGGACAACCAAACUAUUGUGCAAGGAGGCCUCUGUUUCAAGGCCAGACGUGAUGUGCUUUCUCAUAACGGACAGAACUUGCCAAAAGAGUGGAAGAAGCUAUUCAUGUAUGCUACAACAGCAGCUAGGAGUUUACUAGCCCAAAAAUGGAAGGACAACAAGAUACCAACGAAAGAAGAACGGCAAGCAAAAUUAAUGGACUAUGCCAAAAUGGCGAAGCUUAUGGGAAAACUCAGAGACAAGGACAAUUAAGACUUUUAAAAAGAC